AUGCUUGCUUUGGCAGCAUGUACUCUAAACUUGAAAUAAUACAGAGAAAAUUAGUUUGGCCUUGCGUAGGGAUAACCUGCAAAUGCACAAAGUAUUCCACAUUUUU